GAUGAACGCUGGCGGCGUGCUUAACACAUGCAAGUCGAACGGUGAACACGGAGCUUGCUCUGUGGGAUCAGUGGCGAACGGGUGAGUAACACGUGAGCAACCUGCCCCUGACUCUGGGAUAAGCGCUGGAAACGGCGUCUAAUACUGGAUACGAGUAGCGGCCGCAUGGUCAGUUACUGGAAAGAUUUUUUGGUUGGGGAUGGGCUCGCGGCCUAUCAGCUUGUUGGUGAGGUAAUGGCUCACCAAGGCGUCGACGGGUAGCCGGCCUGAGAGGGUGACCGGCCACACUGAGGCUGAGACACAGCCCAGACUCCUACGGGAGGCAGCAGUGGGGAAUAUUGCACAAUGGGCGAAAGCCUGAUGCAGCAACGCCGCGUGAGGGAUGACGGCCUUCUGGUUGUAAACCUCUUUUAGCAGGGAAGAAGCGAAAGUGACGGUACCUGCAGAAAAAGCGCCGGCUAACUACGUGCCAGCAGCCGCCGUAA
rnacentral:rRNA from 1 species